rnacentral:rRNA from 1 species
UGGGGAAUAUUGGACAAUGGGCGCAAGCCUGAUCCAGCCAUGCCGCGUGUGUGAUGAAGGCCUUAGGGUUGUAAAGCACUUUCACCGAUGAAGAUAAUGACGGUAGUCGGAGAAGAAGCCCCGGCUAACUUCGUGCCAGCAGCCGCGGUAAUACGAAGGGGGCUAGCGUUGUUCGGAAUUACUGGGCGUAAAGCGCACGUAGGCGGAUUGGUCAGUUAGGGGUGAAAUCCCAGGGCUCAACCCUGGAACUGCCUUUAGUACUGCCGGUCUUGAGUUCGAGAGAGGUGAGUGGAAUUCCGAGUGUAGAGGUGAAAUUCGUAGAUAUUCGGAGGAACACCAGUGGCGAAGGCGGCUCACUGGCUCGAUACUGACGCUGAGGUGCGAAAGCGUGGGGAGCAAACAGGAUUAGAUACCC